UAUCGGCUUAUCGCUGUCUAGUUUCGUUUAUCGCUUGCAGCAGCUUGUAGAGUGUAGUUCUUGCAGUGCUGUCUGCAUUCUUCCCUAUCUUUUACUCUUUGACCUCGCGUUUUUUACUGUUUUUGCGUUUAAUUUACUCAUUUUUCAAGGAAACUAUUUCAUGAUUGUAGGAGCACAUGGCUCAAAAUUAUCAUCGGAAUUGCACACCAUACGAUUCUUUGGUUUUCAACUACAAGUGACUUCGUGUUUUAUGUCCUGAGCAUUGCAAACAUCCUAAGAUCAGUGACCCUACUGCAAUAUCCUUUAGAAUGGGAAGUCUUUGAAGAAACUGAAUUCUUCUUCAAAAAAAGAAAUGUCAAGCAUAACAUCUAGGAGAAACUGAGGAGAGCAGAAAUUGAUCUGGAAAGAGUAGUGAGCACCAAACUUGACCAGUUAUUCUUAAAAGAACGAUAAAUUUGAAUUGCCAUGGCUAAGUGAGCCAUGGCUUUUACCACUUAUACUCUACUCCAUUCAACUUCCAACUAUGAAUCGAUUCAGCAACAGUACUCGGAACACCCUGGCGCAGUUUCAGAAAACGGCGCUGCAAACAAUAAAAACGCCGUAGAAAAAGAUGGUGCUUAUUGUGAAUAACUACAAACAACACGUCACAGCUCCGUAGAAAAAGAUGGUGCUUAUUGUGAAUAACAACAAACAACACGUCACAGCUCCAGGAUACCGAAAAGUUCUAUUCUGUUUUCGACAUACUGCUUCAAUGAUGUUAGAAGGGGAAAACGCUACCGAAAUAUAAAUGUAAAAAUUUUUAUUUUAGUUUAUUGAUCACAGAGUCAGAGAACAAUGUGUGGAAUCUGAUAUAAAGUCCUCAAAACCCCAGCUGCCUUUCUGCUUCAACAAGGCUAUAAAGCAAUUAUAAUUUCAGGAGGUCCUAACUCAGUGCACGCGGUUGAUGCCCCACUAUACGACCCAGCAAUAUUUAAGCUGUGGUUUUCCAGUGCUGGGAAUUUGUUAUGGCAAGCAAAUACUCAACAAGGAGUUAGGUGAAACGGUGGAGAGAAAAGAUGUUCGCGAUGGGCAAUUCGAGAUCCGAGUAGAAACGGAGUGCUCAUUGUUUAAAGGCUUAGAGACUUGGCAAAUGGUAUUACUGACCCAUGGUGACGGUGACAGCGUAGACAAGGUUGCAGAGAAGGGUUGCGUUGCCUAAAUCUUUGCGUCAUAUUAUUUCCACUAUUGCUGAUAUUACUGAGUCCAGCUCCAUGAUUUGACUGAAAACGGACGAAAAAUCUUGCAUAACUUCUUAUUCGAUAUCUGUGGAUUGCAAGGAGGUUUCACAUUGUAGAAACGCGAGCAGCAGUGUAACGAUUACAUCCGGCGCACGGUCGGACGUGAUAAGAUCGUGCUCAUGCUGGUAAGCGGCGGAGUCUAUUCCGCCGUUUGUGAUGGCCCUACCCUUCUCCAUAAAGCACUUCUACAGGGUGACGACUCAUCGCGAGUGCAGGCCGUCCAUAUCGAUAACGGUUUCCUGCGUAAAGAAGAAUCCGAGCAGGUUGUCACUAGUUUACACCAACUCGGGCUCAAUCUUCCGGUAAUUUGAGAUACAUUUCUAGGCCGUUCAGAAUCUUAUGAUUAGCAAAAAUUUUCAAAAUACGUCGUCCGGUCACAUCUGAAAUUGAAUCACCUUGCAACCUCUUACUUUCAUUUGAAAGUAAUUCAACACUCAUGCAGCCACCAUAUAGACAUCUUAAAAACAUAAUUUAGGAUAUGCAAACUAUGGCACUAAGUUAUUCUUAUACACCUUUUGCACUUCUACAGAGUGUACGGGAACGAAAUUAGUUGUGGAUUGGUUUGCUGUUGACAAGCAAGGAAAGGAUUCUUUUUAACCAAAGUAGACAGGAUAUUUAUUCUAAAUCCCACAAUGUCCUGGUAAUAAAUUAGUACAAAUCAAACUGAAUUAGAAUAGGAUUUUGACUGAGGCUGGGUGCCGAAACAAUGGAUGGUAAUUGGGAGCGCGAUUGGAAAUAUCCAUGAUUUAUUAUCGUUUUCUCAUGUUACGGUAUUUUACUUAAGACAAAUUGAAGUGCAUAUAUGGGCUCCCUUCUUUUCUGAAGCCCCGUUUCCCCUUGACUCAUAAUAAGCCCGUAGGGGGUCAUGCCCCUACUGUACGGUAUAUAUAAAAACAACAUAUAUCGA